rnacentral:rRNA from 1 species
UGGGGAAUCUUGGACAAUGGGGGCAACCCUGAUCCAGCGAUGCCGCGUGGGUGAAGAAGGCCUUCGGGUUGUAAAGCCCUUUAGGCUGGGAAGAAGGUUGUGAGAUGAAUAAUCUUGCGAUUUGACGGUACCAGCAGAAUAAGCACCGGCAAACUCUGUGCCAGCAGCCGCGGUAAUACAGAGGGUGCAAGCGUUAAUCGGAUUUACUGGGCGUAAAGGGCGCGUAGGCGGUCAAAUGAGUGUGAUGUGAAAGCCCCGGGCUUAACCUGGGAAGUGCAUCGCAAACGAUUUGACUGGAGUAGAUGAGAGGGUGGUGGAAUUUCCGGUGUAGCGGUGAAAUGCGUAGAGAUCGGAAGGAACGUCAACGGCGAAGGCAGCCACCUGGCAUCAUACUGACGCUGAGGCGCGAAAGCGUGGGGAGCGAACA